rnacentral:lncRNA from 1 species
AUUUUAAAUUAACAACAUAGGUUAGAAGUUCGUUAUCCAAAUGACUGAUUUUGACAAGAAUUGGCCUCAAAUUACUACUGCUUAAUAUUUAUUAAAGACACCCGUCUAAUGUAGACAUGGCAAAAUGAUUAAAAAUAAUAAUUAUCCACCCAAUCCAACUCACUAAAAAUGGGUUGGAUAACUGACUUUUUAAAACCGGGUCGAAUAUGGAUAAUUAUCCAUAUUAUCCACUAAAAAAAUGAAUAACCAAAUGGGUAACCAAUGGGUAAAAUAUGGAUGAUAAAUUUUAAAGCUUUUCAGACCUAUUAGAAUUCACUCGCUACUAUCGCUAUUUUCACCACUUCAAUAGAAAACCCCUAAAUUCCCAAUUCCUCAAAUUUCUCCCCUUCUUCCCAAAGUAUCGUCGGCAACUUCUCCGGUGAGUUCCAUCUUCCGAUAAUUCUCUCCUCUCUCUGACUUCUUCGCUUUCUUCUUCUGACAUUGACCUAUCCAGGAGGAGUAAGCUUCAAUUUCCUUUCACAAGAUUUUGGUUAGUCGGAACUCGAAAGUUUUUUGAAAUCCCAGUGGGCAAACCAAGAGUGUAAAAGUUAAUGUUGAUGAGACUACCUUUGAGCAAAAUGAUUUGCUUGUUAUGAUUUUGUGAAAACGGAACACCUACCAGGAGUAUUUAAAGUUUCAAACAAGAGUGGAAGUGUUACAACAAUCUCAAAGGUGAGAAAAACACUAAGUAGACUAAGAUUAGAUGUAAUUCUUAACUCCAGGGCACUGCAUUUUCUAUUACUUAUUUAAUAAAUUGAUUUAUAUCAAGCCUAAUUCAUACUGUUUACUUCAUCUUUAGAUAGAGAUGUCGAUGGAAGGUAUUGCUGAUUCUUGUGAACAGAGCUCUUCAAAUACGCUAAAACGAUCAAAAAGACAAAUUUUCACUAUUUGGGUCUUUUGUGAAGGUAACAGAGCCUAGUAUUUCUAGUUAUAGAAAGUUUAAAGUCCAAUGUACGCUUUGUAAAAACCACUACAUACACGAUCCUAAAUUUGGAGCAUCAAAUUUGAAGCGCCAUUUGUUGAUAAAACAUCCGUUGAAUAAUGCAAAAGAGGGUCAUAAUGAACCGAUAGAUCAGAAAGUUUAUCGAGAGAAAAUAUCAUUAGCCAUAGUCAGGCAUAAUUAUGCUUUUAGUUUGUAGAACAUAAAGGCAUCAGGGACCUUCAUUCGUAUUUAAAUCCAGUAGCGAAGCACAUAUCAAGAAACACAACCAAGUCAGAUAUCUUGAAUAUGUAUGCAAGCGAAAAAGAACUUUUAAAAAAUGAGCUUGCAUUAUUCCUAGUAGAGUGUGUUUAACAUCAUAUAUGUGGAUUUCAUUAGCAUCUAAUGGCUACAUGUGUGUAACAACUCAUUAUGUGGAUUUAAACUAGGUUCUUCAGAAGAGGGUGUUGAUUUUUCGCCAUGUUCCUCCUCCACAUUCGGGUGCGAUUUUAGGUCCCUUAUUGAUUAACUUUCUUAAAGAAUGGGAAAUCGAAAAGAAAAUCUUUACCCUUACUUUAGAUAAUGCUGCUUACAAUAAUGUUGUAGUGAAUAGUUUAAAGAAUCAUUUUUCUUUGAUGCGUUCACUAAUUUGUGACGAAAAUUUUUUCCAUGUUCGUUGUGGGAAUCACAUUUUGAACUUAAUUGUUAAGACGGGCUUAGAGAAGGCUGAUGCAGCUAUUGCGAAAAUUAGAGAAGAUGUUAAGCAUAUCAAGAAUUCAAAAAUAAGAAUAAUAAAAUUUGUGGAUUGUCUUAGUAAUAUUGGUCUACCAUGUUCUAAGAAGCUACGCCAAGAUAUGCCUAUUCGGUGGAACUCCACCUACCAAAUGCUUGAAAGUGCUCUUCUUUAUCGGCAAAUUUAUAUUCACUAUAACUUGCUUGAUAUUGAUUUUAGACAUGGUCUUUCUGAAGAUGAAUGAAAAAUGGUCGAGAAUAUAGCUAAGUUUUUAAAGCUAUUUUAUGACAUUACGACCUUGUUUUCUGGAUGUAAAUACCCAACGGCUAAUUUGUAUCUUCCUAAUGUAUGGUGAAUUGAAAUGUUGUUGGAAGAACAAAAAACAGUGGAGAUUCAGUGAUGAGUGAGAUGGACACUUUGAUGUUGGGAAAGUUUAAGAAAUAUUAAGAGUCAUAUAGUGUCAUUUUAUCUAUAGCUAUUGUCCUUGACCCUCGAUAUAAAUUGAAGUUUGUUAAGUUUUGCUUUUCCAAGCUUCAUCCUAAGGAGAUUGCUAAUGAAAAAGUGAAGGCUAUUGAAGAGAACUUACAAUUAUUGUUCAAAGAAUACUUGAUACCUUCGACUACAACCUCGUUAUUGGGGGAUCAUGCUUGUAGUAGUGGUAUCAAUAAAAUGAGGGAUGCAUUUGAUGAGUUUGAUGGGUUUGAAAGUCAGUUGGAGUCAAGUACCAGUAAAAUACAACUGGACUUGUAUUUGAGGAAGCUAAUCUUGACCGUAAAAUAAAUCUGAAUCUGGAUGUACUUGGAUUUUGGAAGGAUAACAUGCAAAGGUAUCCAGAACUCUCAUUAAUGGCACGAGAUAUCUUGAGUGUUCCAAUCACCACAAUAGCCUCUAAAUCUGCAUUUAGCAUAGGUGGUCGUGUCAUUGGAAAGUUUCGAAGUUCUAUUCUCCCCGCAAAUGCCGAGGAAAAGCUAUGUAUUAGGGAUUGGAUUUGUGGAAGAGAAGAUAAAUUAAUCUUCUCUAGAUUGGUUUAUUUUAUUUUCUGAAUAACUAAUAAACUGUAAUAUUUUAUAUUUUUUUCUUUUUAAAUUGUAUAAGAUCUUGAUGAUGGAUCCGACUCUGAUGAAGAAGAUGAGAUGCUAUUGAUUUUGAACCUUAUCUUGCGAAACUUAGAGGUAAGAGGACCCUCUGUUGUUCUCUUUUUAAUUUCUUGUACUUUUGGGUUUCUAUUGAAUCAACUAUUCUAAUAUUUAUGAUGAUCUGCUGCCAAGAAAAGUACUGUAUCUGAUGAUAGCCACUUUUGAUUGUUGGCCAUACUAUUUUACUUGGUAAUUGGAUGUGGUAUUUCGAUCAAAUGUUGUGCUUACUGGUGCUAGUUUAAUAUUUCUAGUGUUCAAUUCCUUUGUGACUAAUCCCACGAGCAUACGCUGACUCCUUGACAUUAGCCCAUGUUGUCUUGUGCUUCAUCUUAAAACAAGUUGUACACUUGUUAUAGAGAAAGCAUUUUCUAGAAAUACUGCUAAUAGUCCUAUGCAAAUAAGAAGCAAAACAAGUGACUUAUGAGUAAAAUAAAUCAUGGUUUCUUCUAGUGUAUGGGAGAAAAUAGAAAAAAUGGGCAGCCUUUAUAUCAUUAAUAUGAGCUUUUUUAGUUUUGAAUCGAUUUUUCAUAGAAGUGCAUUUGGUUGGAUUCUGUAUAGUUGAGAAGAAAUUUGGUCUCAGUUUUUGGUUUAGCAUGAAUAUUGAAUCUUAUUUAAAUAAAAAUUCAACAUAUUGCAGUCACUUCUUUCUAUAUACUUUAUAUAUUUGGUUUAUAAGAAAGAUAAUUGAGGUUGGCACUACUUAACUUUUCCAGCCACUUCAUGUGUCACAGCCUCCUCUGUCACCCUUUGUGUCACAUGAGAGUAUUGAGGUUGAUGAUUACCAUACUAGGAUUAAUGUUAGAUCCAUAUCCUUGAAUAUUUUCUCGAGAGAGGAAUCAGAGCAUAUUCUUAGAGAGUUUAGAGGUAGGAUAACUCAUCUGAAUUCUUCUCUCAUGCAAUUAUCGCUAUCAUGAUUCGUGCACCCGGACUUGGAUGAAACCUGCAGUAUUCAGUCUCUCUAGUGCCACUAUGGAGAUACUACAUAAUUUUCAUAUCAAUUUUUUUGGUAAUCAAGAGACUUCUAUUAUCUAAAGUACUCUACAUCACUACUAAAAAGGAUAGAAAUUCAACUAAGUAGCUUUCUUUCUAACUUGUUAAUCACACUGUCUCUAACAAAGAUCUCUUGAAUGAUCAUCUUGAUGAUUCUAUAUGAGGUAGUUGUUGCAUUUAAGAGAAGGAUAUUCAUUCUUCUUUAGUUACAGUCAAGAUGACUGAUAUUGUGAAAUGUAUCAUACCUACAUUGUUUUUUGGAAUUCUGCAGCAAACUUCAAUAUCUAAAGAAUGGGUGUAAAUAUCACGAAGCAUCUCCUAUUAUCUAUUUUAAGGUGCACUAUUUUUUAUUCCUGCUAGUGCAUUUCGAUGUAUUUUGCUGGUGCAUUUUAUUGUAUGUUGUAGGUGCAUUCAAUGUAUUUUGUUAUCUGAUUUAAAGCGCAUCAUUCUUGAUUCCUGCUAGUACAUUUUAACGUAUUUUGCUGGUGCAUUUCAGUAUAUAUUGCUGGUGCAUUGAAUCUAUUUUGUUGUCUUGAUACUUACUUUUUUCUCUUGGUUGCAGUGAUUAAAAAAAAAAGGAACUACAAUGUGAACUUGCAGAUGAUAAAAUGGAUUAGGGAACGUGAAGAUGAAGAGAAUGGAUGAGAGAAUUUUAGUGAAUUGAAGAUGAAGAGUUUUAGUGAACUUUGUAUAUUUUUUAUAUUUAAUCAUAGUACUCAGUUAGAAAAAUUAAAGUCACAUAUUUUGAUAUUGUUUAACUUUCUAUAAAUAUUACCUUAUCAGAAAGAAAUUGCUAUAAAUAUGUGAACCAUGUAGCUAGGAACUCAUUACAAAUUAUUGAAAAAUUAUUUCAUUAAUGUUCUUCUGUUGCAAGUGGCAGCAAAUUUAUAUUAGAGCUUGAGGCUAAUGUGAAGCCAUGGAUGGAUAAUACGAUUACUCAUUUUAUCUGUCGGUUAAUUCAUUUAUUAUCCGUAUUAAAUAUGGGUCGGGUCGGAUAAUUUAUCAUUUUUUUCAUUACCCGUUUUCGACUCGCCCCAUAACCGACCCGACCCGCCCGUUUGCCACCUUUACUCUAAUGUAUUAACACAAUAAACUAAAUUGUGCCCCCAUUUUUUAUAAAAGAAAGAUAAGAAAAGCCGAUACAAAAUUAAUGCAAACAAAAUAUAAGCAAAUUUAAGUGAGAGGAAACAUGUACGGAGAAAACAUUUUCAAGCAAGAACAAAAUAGAGCCCAGGUGCUAAUUGAUAAACAGAGAAAAAUGAAGAACCUUAAUAUUAAACUUUCAACUUUUGAUUUUUUGACUGAUGAUUUGCUCCAAAACAAUAUGGAAUCGCGGAGGAGACCUCAACGGAAAGACACACAUUGUGGACCUCGAACUUUUGCUAAAACUCAAUCGACCUCAGCCGAAGCUUCGUUUCAUCGGUAAAAAUAGAGGGUAAAAGUGUCUACUUUUGUUCUGUUUUAUGGUUGUCUUGUGAGUUGGUUUUGGAUGUUAAAAGGGGUAAAAGAAACUGAUUUUGAUGGAGCUUGGGAUGGGAUUUUGGCUAGCCUUUUCGACGCUUUCUUCUUGCAAAGGAAGAAGACGGGAGUUUUUUUUCUCUCUUUGUUUUCAACGUCUCCCUCCCAGGUGCCCUCUAUCUCGUCCCCCCCAGAUAUGCCUCAC